GCAUUUAGUCUGGGUAAUAAAUCAGGGCGGUUUACGAGGUUUACACGAGACAAACAAGCAAGCAGGGCACAACACAAGCCCCUGGAAGCGGCGUGCGCGGAGCUGCCAGGAGUCGGGAGCCCCACGCGCUCGCACGCCGAAAGCAGCCCCGGCGCGCCCUGACACGCCGCCAGCACCCACACUUCGGCUGGUCCCCGAGCGGGCGGAGCGGAGAGGUGCAGGGGAGCAGCCCCAGCCUGAGCCCACACCCCUCCAACCUUCCGCACGAACCCGCGGCGCCCGGCGCGCCCCAGUUCUGGGCAACUCGGCGCCCCCGCCCCGCCAGGGAGGGGCCGCUGGCAUAGGCGACAGCCUCAACCGGUACACACCCUGCGGUGGGCCCAUUAAGCCGAGAAGCCGAGGAAACUGGAUGCCCCCUCCCCCACCUCUUCCAUCCGGCUGGGCUUGGCCUUAAAGAUCCCAGGCCCACAGUCGCAAGCAAUACGAAGGAUCCUCUCCACAUCCACGUGUGACCUCCACUGAGCCUGGGCGCUAGGCACCGCCCCCCCACCCCAAUCUCUCCGCGUUGCCUCCUCCCAGGUGCUGGGAGGCCACCACCCUCAAUUGAAUUGACAUUCCAGCUUCCCCAUCGCAAAACCCCUACGGCAAAGCCCAUGCCCUGACUUUCCAACAACUGGGAAUCGAGUGGACUUCCCACAAGGAGGAACAGUGUCAUGUGAGAGGAGCUCCUCAGCCUCAAGUUCUCCGCUGCUCCCUUCCACUGCCUGCACAAUGGACCCAGCACGCCACUCCUACUGGGCCAGGAGAGCCUCUUACUCACUGAUCUCCCCUCCACUUCUCCCCACGCUGCCUGGGCAGCCCCGGGACAGAAGUCUCUGAGCUCACCUCUCCAACCUCGAAUGAAGCUGAGCGUUUUCUCCAGGCUGUUGACUCUGCGGCACGCUGGCUGUACACACACACACCACGAGUUGUUCUCGCCCUUCCUGGGGGCCUCCCUUCUCAUCUCCCUGCUGGGCGCCCUCGAAACCUGACUACUCAGCCUGAGUGCAGAGCCCUGGCAGAGUGGGGAGCCUGGAGGACCAAGGGGAGGUGGCCAAGGGAGAGAAGGAGAGGGCCCGUAAUGGAGGAGGGGCCCCGCAUGCCUGAGAGAAAAGAAGCCAGCCUGCAGCCACAGCCUGGAGGAGAGGGGGAGUAUAAAGGGAAAGCCAACACUAAUCCCUCAGCCUACCUACGUGGGGCCUGACAGUUUACAAAAGCCUUUUCCCUGAAUAUUAUCUCAUUCACUCCGGGCUAUAAGGAAGGUAGGGCAGAUAGCGUUACCCUCACUGACAGAGGAGAGAGAUGACGCCCAGAGAGGUUAAGAUAGGUCUGUACCAAGGUUGCAGAGCUAAGAGUGGUGGAGGAGCCCCCAGGCCUGGGGUUUCCUGCUCCCAAGUUCACGUUCCUGUUCAAUAGCUCUGUGUGUGUGAGUCUGGGUGACUAUCUGUGUGGAGGGGAAGGUGGGGGGUGGCUGGACAGGAAUGAGCAGUCCAGUGAGGGAAGUCCAGGAAGGAAGGACAUAGCCUCAUACCUCUUCCUCUACUCAGGUCUCAGCCAGCAGCCUCCUGCUCUUUCCGUAGCAGCCUGUGAGCCGGCCCCCAACUCGCCUGCCCAGGGGUGAGCUGUCUGUGGCUCCAGCAGUGGCUAUUCCAGAGGGCUUAUAUCUUUGGGAGGCCCCGCUCUGCUUGUCUGCUCGGCUCUCCUCUCUGCCUGUCAUCCCCACCCCCAGCCUCGGCUGCAGGAUGCCUUGCGUCCAACUGUGGUUUCCGGGCAAUAAAACAACUAUUAAAGUCUCAGGCACGGCUGGUGAUUUGCAUCACAUCCUCUCGUGCAUGGAUUCAAUAUUUAAUACACAAUAUUGAAUACGGAUAUUAAAAAUCAAUAGCUGAGGACCCCUGGGGAGGCGGCACAGUGCGAUCCUGCUUCAGAAACACAACCAGCUCCUCUUAAAAGAUAGGAACGGCAAGUUCAGCCAAGCUGAGCCCAGCGCCAGGGGAAGUGAGGAGUAGUGGAUGCCUCGCAGCUUCCUGAUCUACUUAACUGCAUCAUUCCUAAGUCAGGCUAAAGGGAGGCCAAAGGAACUAUGUGCCCUCAGGCUUUACUAGCUGGCAGUGGAGUGGGGUGGGGUAGAAUUUGUUUCCAAGCUAGCUACCAGGUGGAGAUGCCCCUUUUGUUGCCAUUUGCACUUUGGUUUGGUUUGGUGCAGGCAAGCACUCAACACUUCCACCAUGAUGGCUCCUUCCCACCACCGAUAGGCCCCACGGAGAGCUUCUGGCAUAAGCUUUCAGGGAGAUGGACC
ensembl:lncRNA